rnacentral:piRNA from 1 species
UCCUUGGGCAGUUGUGGAAAAUGACGGAG